rnacentral:tRNA from 2 species
GGGCGCUUAGCUCAGUGGGAGAGCGCUUCCUUGACGCGGAAGAGGUCGUAAGUUCGAUCCUUACAGCGCCCACCA